GAAAAUGGCUGUGCACCAACGCAAACCCAUCCAACCUGAUGGAGCUUGAGAGGUGCUGUAACGACAAAUGAGCAGAACUGCCCAAAGAAUGGUGCACCAAGCUUGUGGCAUCAUAUUUAAGAAGAAUUGAGGCUGUAAUUGCUGCCAAAGGGGCAUCAACAAACUAUUGAACAAAGGCUGUGAAUA